GCCAAUUGACCCUAUGUAGGGGGAACAGUCUCUAUUCUGCUCUCUGUCAGUGUGUAUCAUGGUCUCUGAGGACAGGUGUCAAUCUAUAUCUGCCAAGUGACCCUAUGUAGGGGGAACAGUCCCUAUUCUGCUCUGUGUCAGUGUUUAUCAGGGAUCCUUAGGAUAGGUGUCAAUCCAUAACUGCCAAGUGACCAUAUGUAGGGGGAACAGUCCCUAUUCUACU